rnacentral:rRNA from 1 species
GCAACCCUCAUCUUUAGUUGCCAUCAGUUCGCUGGGCACUCUAGAGAAACUGCCUGCGAUGACAGGAGGAAGGUGGGGAUGACGUCAAGUCCUCAUGGCCCUUAUGGGCUGGGCUACACACGUGCUACAAUGGCGGUGACAAAGGGAUGCAAUAGGGCAACCUGGAGCAAAUCCCUAAAAGCCGUCUCAGUUCGGAUUGUUCUCUGCAACUCGAGAGCAUGAAGUUGGAAUCGCUAGUAAUCGUAGAUCAGCAUGCUACGGUGAAUACGUUCCCGGGCCUU